UCUUUCGACAUGAAGCUACCAUUGCUGAUAUGAUGGUUUUACCAUGUGGAUUAUCUCAUGAGCGCAUCACUCUAUAUUUAGUUGUAUCUUAGAUGUUCUGUAAUGUUCAGUUCUAACAACGUUUCUUUUUAGUGCAUAUUUUCGUAGGUCCCUGGAGUCGUAUGCUGUAACACCAUUGCCGCCAUCAACAGAAGUCAUAAUAAUCGAUUGACGCUACUCAGUUAUGGGUCCUCUUUGCUAGGUAACAAUGGUAAGGAUUUAGGAGGGCUAAACAAAAUCGAAAGUUGGUGAUGAAAUUUAGGUUUUGAGAGACAAGUUGAUACCUAGAGUUCUUGAACCGAAUCGAGAUGCAAGGGAAUUCAAAACAGGCGAGAACCAAUUAUCAAGACUGGUGGUUGAAAUGUCGUUGCUUCGUAUUGGAAAAUUGGGGGGAUGUUCCUCCAAAGCUCCUGGAAAAACAGGUUAUUUUCAAUCUAUAUGGCAUGCCAACGCUGGCUAAUUGUGUAUUAUGCUCCUGAAAUGAUGCUCAUCUUACAUGUAACUCUUUGUAAACAAAGAGUGAUAAACAUUUAUAUUUUUAUGUAAUAUUAAUUCACAAAGUAAAUAACCAAUUAUAAGUU